AUUGAACGCUUGCGGCAGGCCUAACACAUGCAAGUCGAGCGAGCGGCGGACGGGUGAGUAAUGUCUGGGGAUCUGCCCGCUGGAGGGGGAUAACUACUGGAAACGGUGGCUAAUACCGCAUACUAUCGGAUGAACCCAAAUGGGAUUAGGUAGGAGGUGGGGUAAAGGCUCACCUAGGCGCCGAUCUCUAGCUGGUCUGAGAGGAUGAUCAGCAAUAAUGUAAUGGACACACGGUCCGGACUCAUAGGGAAGGAAGAAGUGGGUAAUAUGGAACAAGGGGGUCAAGUCGGAUGCAGCCAUGCCGCGUGUAUGAAGAAGGCCUUAGGGUUGUAAAGUACUUUCAGCGGGGAGGCGUUACCCGCAGAAGAGGCACGGGCUAACUCCGUGCCAGCAGGGGCGGUAAUUC
rnacentral:rRNA from 1 species